UACGUAGGGUGCAAGCGUUGUCCGGAAUUAUUGGGCGUAAAGAGCUCGUAGGUGGUUUGUUACGUCUGCUGUGAAAACCUAGGGCUUAACCCUGGGCUUGCAGUGGAUACGGGCAGACUAGAGGUAGGUAGGGGAGAAUGGAAUUCCUGGUGUAGCGGUGAAAUGCGCAGAUAUCAGGAGGAACACCGGUGGCGAAGGCGGGUCUCUGGGCCGAAACUGACGCUGAGGAGCGAAAGCGUGGGGAGCGAACAGG
rnacentral:rRNA from 1 species